UACGUAGGGUGCAAGCGUUGUCCGGAAUUAUUGGGCGUAAAGAGCUCGUAGGCGGUUUGUCGCGUCUGCUGUGAAAACUCGGGGCUUAACUCCGGGCCUGCAGUGGGUACGGGCAGACUAGAGUUCGGUAGGGGAGACUGGAAUUCCUGGUGUAGCGGUGGAAUGCGCAGAUAUCAGGAGGAACACCGAUGGCGAAGGCAGUUCUCUGGGCCGUAACUGACGCUGAGGAGCGAAAGCGUGGGGAGCGAACAGG
rnacentral:rRNA from 1 species